AUGCCAAGUUCUCCAUCAAUAUCUCCAGUGCUUCGCCAUUUGACGUAUGUUGUUGAUGAAAACCCACUCAAAACUGAACCGCAUGGAGGUUCUGAUUUUGGUGGAUAUCCUUCAUUAAAGCAGAGGAAUGAUUCUUUUGAUAUACAAGAGUCGAUGACGGUGCACUGUGGAUUUGUCAGAGGAAAUAAACCAGGUCAACAGACUGGGUUUGAUAUUGAUGAAGCUGACCUUAUGGAGUUGGAGCAGUUUCAUGAAGUCAUUGUCGCAUCAGCUAUAUUUGGGAACUAUGACAUAAUCCAACAGCCCAAGAACAUUAGUGAAGAAUCAAGGAGAACUGUUCCUUUCUAUAUGUUUAUUGAUGAAGAGACAGAGGCAUAUAUGAGGAAUUCUAGUGUCCUGCAUAGCAGUAUGAAGGUUGGAUUAUGGAGGAUUAUUGUUGUCCAUAACAUUCCUUACAAUGAAUCAAGAUGUAAUGGAAAGGUUCCAAAGCUUCUGUUGCAUAGGAUCUUGCCCAAUGUUCGGUAUUCCAUAUGGAUUGAUGGAAAACUCCAGCUUGUUGUGGAUCCCUAUCAAGUUAUUGAGAGGUUCUUGUGGAGCCAAAAUGCUAAUUUUGCAAUCUCAAGACAUUACAGGCGCUUUGAUGUGUUUGAAGAGGCUGAAGCUAACAAAGCUGCUGGAAAGUAUGACAAUACCUCCAUUGAUUAACAGAUUAAAUUUUAUAAAAUGGAGGGCUUAACACCAUACUCUGAUGCUAAGUUUCCAAUUACAAGUGAUGUUCCAGAAGGUUGUGUUAUUAUAAGAGAACAUGUUCCCAUUACAAAUCUGUUUGCCUGCCUAUGGUUCAAUGAAGUUGAUCGGUUUACUUCCAGAGAUCAGUUAAGCUUUUCCACAGUAAGGGAUAAAAUUAUGGAAAAAGUAGAAUGGAGCAUCAAUAUGUUUUUGGACUGUGAAAGGCGUAAUUUUGUGAUUCAGGCUUAUCACAGAGACUUGUUAGAGCACAGGCCUCACCCUGUUGCCUCUGUUGUUGCCUCUGUUAUUCGUCUUCGACCGCCCUUGAACCGUUAUAGUUCAACUGCAAGGACUCCAGUGAAGAAUUCUUCUAGGCAUGGGAAGUAUAGGAGAUCUAUUCCAAGGCAUCACCGCAAGUCUGUUGCUGGUACUAGGGACAAGCAAGUCGUUUCAGAGGCAAGAACAAUUUAG